AACGGGAUAUAUAAGGAGAUAAGGUGUUUACAUUUUAAGGAAUUAUAUAUUCAGUGGCGGACGGGUGAGUAACGCGUGGGUAACCUGCCUCAUACCGGGGGAUACCACCUGGAAACAGGUGCUAAUACCGCAUAACACAUUCCGGUGCAUGCCGGGAUGUUGAAAACUCCGGUGGUAUGAGAUGGACCCGCGUCUGAUUAGCCAGUUGGCGGGGUAACGGCCCACCAAAGCGACGAUCAGUAGCCGGCCUGAGAGGGCGGACGGCCACAUUGGGACUGAGACACGGCCCAGACUCCUACGGGAGGCAGCAGUGGGGAAUAUUGCACAAUGGGGGGAACCCUGAUGCAGCGACGCCGCGUGAGUGAAGAAGUAUUUCGGUAUGUAAAGCUCUGUCAGCAGGGAAGAAAGAGACGGUACCUGACCAAGAAGCCCCGGCUAACUACGUGCCAGCAGCCGCGGUAAUACGUAGGGGGCAAGCGUUAUCCGGAUUUACUGGGUGUAAAGGGAGCGUAGACGGCAAUGCAAGUCUGGAGUGAAAGCCCGCGGCCCAACUGCGGGACUGCUCUGGAAACUGUAAUGCUUGAGUGCAGGAGGGGUAAGCGGAAUUCCUGGUGUAGCGGUGAAAUGC
rnacentral:rRNA from 1 species